rnacentral:rRNA from 1 species
GAUGAACGCUCGCGGGAGGCCUAACACAUGCAAGCCGAGCGGUAGAGUUCCUUCGGGAACUUGAGAGCGGCGUACGGGUGCGUAACACGUGUGCAACCUACCUUUAUCUGGGGGAUAGCCUUUCGAAAGGAAGAUUAAUACCCCAUAAUAUAAUGAUUGGCAUCAAUUAUUAUUGAAAACUCCGGUGGAUAGAGAUGGGCACGCGCAAGAUUAGAUAGUUGGUGAGGUAACGGCUCACCAAGUCAAUGAUCUUUAGGGGUCCUGAGAGGGAGAUCCCCCACACUGGUACUGAGACACGGACCAGACUCCUACGGGAGGCAGCAGUGAGGAAUAUUGGACAAUGGGUGAAAGCCUGAUCCAGCCAUCCCGCGUGAAGGAUGACGGUCCUAUGGAUUGUAAACUUCUUUUGUACAGGGAUAAACCUACUCUCGCGAGGGUAGCUGAAGGUACUGUACGAAUAAGCACCGGCUAACUCCGUG